CCUACGGGUGGCAGCAGUGGGGGAUAUUGCACAAUGGGGGAAACCCUGAUGCAGCGACGCCGCGUGAGUGAAGAAGUAUUUCGGUAUGUAAAGCUCUAUCAGCAGGGAAGAAAAUGACAGUACCUGACCAAGAAGCCCCGGCUAACUGCGUGCCAGCAGCCGCGGUCAUACGUAGGGGGCAAGCGUUAUCCGGAUUUACUGGGUGUAAAGGGAGCGUAGACGGUUAUGUAAGUCUGGAGUGAAAGCCCGGGGCACAACCCCGGGACUGCUUUGGAAACUGGGUAACUGGAGUGCAGGAGGGGCAGGCGGAAUUCCUGGUGUAGCGGUGAAAUGCGUAGAGAUCAGGAGGAACACCGGCGGCGAAGGCGGCCUGCUGGACUGAGACUGACGUUGAGGCUCGAAAGCGUGGGGAGCAAACAGGAUUAGAUACCCCAGUAGUC
rnacentral:rRNA from 1 species